ensembl:lncRNA
GGAUGAUUUACCUUUCCCAGGAAGAACUAACACUAACUCGUUAUCAUCCCCAAGUCAGAGAGUAGCUAGCAGGAUGGAGCAUUGGGUGUCUUGAGGGCAGGUCAUCCAUGGAGGCUUGGGGGCCAGUGUCUUAGCAAUGGCACAAAAGGCUGAGGUCCCUGGGAGCCAGCCUCCACUCUAGCCCGUCCCCACCAGGAGCUCUGAGGAGGAACCACAGAUAUCAGCCCUCUUACUCUUGACCUUUGGCUUCCUUGGCAGGGAAAUCGAGGAUGAGAAGAAGUUUGCAAUGGGCCAUAGAGAACCAGGCCCUAGAUUUUUCCAGACCCUACACUCACCUCCAAACCUCUGGGCCUCAGGGAGCAGAAAAUAGUCAAAGAGCUCAGGUUGGAGCUGAGGUGGAAAUGGCUGAUAAUAGCUCGAUCUGCCACUCUCCCAGGUGUUGACAUUUGCAUUUUAAUGGAGGCGGUUAAUGCCUUCAGCUAAGGGAGCGACUAAUCUGUUCUUUCACUUGCUCCUGGAGGUCUGAGAACAUCCCCAUGAGUCAUUUAUUCUUUCAACACACAUAAACUGAUUAUCCAUCUCAAGCAGAAAACCGUGCUGGACACAGUUGAGUGAGGGGAGCCCAAGAGGUAUGCCAGCAAGAUGCCACCCCCAAGAAGUCAGAGGUGAAGAAAUCGCAUCUGGAGAGCGGCACAGCGUCAGCAGAUUUGGGCCACACAGCUAUGCCGAGUGUUUCUUAAACACUCCAAACAAGAGGCUGUUCAUUAAUAGGAGAAAAAUAUUCCUACAGACUGGAGGAAGCAAGAAAGGCUCCUGGGAGGGAUGAAAAGGGUCCUUAACUGCUCAGCCAAAAUGGCUCCCUUUCUCCUCCCAAACCGGUGGGCUUUGUUGAAAGCACAUCCAGCCCAGAAGACAGCCAGAGCAAUGCUGGUUGGCAGACACUCUGCUCUGGCAAAUGUAAUUAAAGGCAACAGCAAUUGCCCCACCUGAUGAGAAGACAGUCUUUUCACUCAACAUUGAGAAGGAUCAAGGAGAAGAGUACUAAGCUUGGAGUCAGAAUACCCAGAGGUUCUACACCAGCUCUCCCACUUUCUAGCUGUGGGAUGUCCAACAAGUCCCUUCACCUCUCUGAACUGCAGUCCCCAGCAAGGAUAACAAUGCUGUCCUACAGCGGCCCUUGAUGACUUGUUAUGAGGAUCAGGCCAAUGAUGUGAAAGUCCUUUUCAAAUUAUUCACUCUUAUGUAAAACAGGAGUUUUUGUUUGUUUGUUUGUUUGUUUAAAGAUUGGCACCUGCGCUAACAUCUGUUGCCACUCUUUUUUUUCUUCUUCUUCUCCCCGAAGUCCCCCAGUACAUCGUUGUAUAUUCUAGUCGCAGCUCCUUCUAGUUGUGGCAUGUGGGACGCCACCUUAGCAUGGCUUGAUGAGCAGUGCCAUGCCCACGCCCAGGAUCCGAACCGGUGAAACCCUGGGCUGUCGAAGUGGAGCGCGUGAACUUAACCACUCAGCCGCGGGGCCGGCCCGGGAGUCAUUCUUAAUAAUAGCGAAUUAAUAAAUUUGUUCUUACUAAAUCCAGAUGUUCCUUUAAGAGGUCAGCAUGGAAUGAGGCACAUCUCUGGGUCUCAGGCUCUUGCAUACAUUUAUAGAUGACUGUGAUAAAUAUUUUUAUGUCUGUGCUGCGUGGGGACCAGCUCCUCUACUAGCCUGGGAUAUCUGUUCUUUCGUCUCUGCUAUGUUCAAAGCAGGGCCCCCAGGGCCAUGCAGAUGAGGUCUCUGUUCUCAAAGACAUUCCCUCUUUCACUGUUCUGACAGACUGCAGCCUGUCUGCCAUGCAGACGGGAGAGCUGCGCCCUCCUGCAGGCGUGGGUGGUGAUUAAAAUGGCCUGUGAGGAGCUUGAGUGGUGCUGAGUGUUGUUUCUCCUCUCAGUGCCACUCUGUUUGGCCUUGGAGUGGUCUUGCUCAGUCUCUGUGUCACUGGUUUUCAAUCUGUGAUUGGGGAUGGCAAGCCAAACCUUGUUAGAGAUCGUGCUGGGGCUGGCUGACCUUCCCCAAGCCAGGAUAAUCUCUCUCCCUGGCAACAGGCAGGGGCAGCAAGGGACAGUGACAGAUUGUGAAAUCCUGGGCCUGGGCUUUCUAGAAUUACUUAAAAAGAGAAAAUAGUCACAAUACCUUGCAUUUGUAUAGUGCUUUUUAAAAAAAAGAAAGCCGUCUUUAAAAUUCUUCGAGGAGAAGGCAGCUUUAGAAUUGUCUGGCAGAGAGGACACCAGGUGGGUAAGAAAUGUAUUGUCUUAUUCUUAGCCACUCAAUAACACUGAGAGUGUUAGGAGAAAUCUUUUUUUCUCCCCACAGAUGGUGAUGCAGGGGAAGAGAGAUGUGGAGUGACUUGAUCAAUAUCACACAGCAUUAGGGGCAGAAUUUGACCUAAACUUCUUGACUUUUUUUUGUCAGCCCAAAGCAGGCAGAGGAGAUGAAAAUGAAUGACCUAACAUUUUGCUUCGUCCACCUGAGAUUCUGGCGUGUAGACAGCUCUUCCUGAGUCAGAUGUUGUACUUGGUCCUCUGGGGCGUACAGAAAUAUGCCCCUACUUAUAGGUUGGAAAGCAAUGAGGAAGAGUAGGGGUGAGGUGUGAGAAAAAUUGGCAUCCUCUUGCAAGGUACCUACCUGAGGUGAGGUCACUCAGCAUCUUUAAGCAAGGCAGGACCAGACUCAACAGACAGGGCUAGGUGGGGCUGCUUCUGUUGCCUAGGGAGUCUCAGUAUGGUUUGGGGAUUUAAAGGAAGGGCCUGCAAACUCCGGCCAGUGGGCCAAAUGUGGGCACUCUCUGGUUUUUGUAAAUAAAGUUUUAUUGAAACACA